GCGCCGUGCUGCGUCAUUCGGGGACCCGGCGGCGAGGCCAGACGUUGGCUUCCGGGCCGCCCCGGGAGAUGUCUGUGGCUUUCGUACCCGACUGGCUGAGGGGCAAGGCGGUGGUGGAUCAAGAGACUAUCCAGCGACUCCUAGAGGAGAAUGAUCAGCUGAUCCGCUGCAUCGUAGAGUAUCAGAACAAGGGCUGGGCGAACGAGUGCGUUCAGUAAGUGCCCCUUCCCACCCCGGCCCUACGAUGGGGGGAGAGCCAGGAGGAGGAUGCAGCAGCUGUCCCGAGCUAGGGGUCUUAGGGAUGGAUCGCAGACGAGCCUCGCUUUGCAGGCGAGGAAAGGGAGGCCGAACCAUACAGCCCGUGCUUUGCAGAACCUGGAGUUAGACGUGGCUUCGUUUUCAGAACUGGGUUAUUCUCACUGCAAAGCCACCUGGGCGUGCAGUCUUGUCAGCUGAUGACAGCAGGGAUGGGGAGGAGGCGUGGCCCCUCUGAAUUUCAGCUUCAUCCCCCGUUGAGGAAGACCACCUGGCUACUAAGCUCCCUUUUCCAACUCACAAUCUGUGAGCAACCCACAAACACCAGCAAAGGAUUUCCAAGUUAAGCCAAAGGUAUCAGCAGGUGUUGCAUAGAAAUCUCAUUUACUUGGCUACCAUCGCAGAUGCCAGCCCAGCCAGUGCUUCAGAAGCAAUGGAGUAAUUUUUCAGCUGGCUGUUGUGAGAAGUGAGUGAAUAUAAUCUGGCUCCUAUGAAAUGAAGACAGGAUCUUUACCACCUCAACUGCUUAAAGCAUGAAUGAAACCACUGUGCUUCUUUUUCAGAUGUGAAGAAAGCUACUAAUUUAACUGUAUUCUCAAUGUAAAUAUUUAUUUUAAUAAUAAAUCAGAUCCUCAGUGA